rnacentral:rRNA from 1 species
GAUGAACGCUGGCGGCGUGCCUAAACAUGCCAGGCGAACGAACGGAAGAGAAACUUGCUUCCCUGAUGUUAAGGGCGGGCGGGGGAGUAACACGUUGAAAACCUACCUAUAAGACUGGGAAAAACUUGGGAAAACGGAGCUAAAACCGGAAGAUAAUUUUAAACGCAUGGGUUAAAAGUGAAAAACGGUCUUGCCGGCACUUAUAGAUGGAACCGCGCCGCAUUAGCUAGUUGGUAAGGUAACGGCUUACCAAGGCAACGAUGCAUAGCCGACCUGAGAGGGUGAUCGGCCACACUGGAACUGAGACACGGUCCAGACUCCUACGGGAGGCAGCAGUAGGGAAUCUUCCGCAAUGGGCGAAAGCCUGACGGAGCAACGCCGCGUGAGUGAUGAAGGUCUUCGGAUCGUAAAGCUCUGUUAUUAGGUAAGAACAUAUGUGUAAGUAACUGUGCAUAUCUUGACGGUACCUAAUCAGAAAGCCACGGCUAACUACGUG